rnacentral:rRNA from 1 species
CAGCAGCCGCGGGAAAACGGAGGGUGCAAGCGUUAUCCGGAUUUAUUGGGUUUAAAGGGUCCGUAGGCGGACUUAUAAGUCAGUGGUGAAAGCCUGUCGCUUAACGAUAGAACUGCCAUUGAUACUGUAAGUCUUGAGUAUAUUUGAGGUAGCUGGAAUAAGUAGUGUAGCGGUGAAAUGCAUAGAUAUUACUUAGAACACCAAUUGCGAAGGCAGGUUACCAAGAUAUAACUGACGCUGAGGGACGAAAGCGUGGGUAGCGAACAGGAUUAGAUACCCCUGUAGUCCCUGUCUCUUAUAC